rnacentral:rRNA from 1 species
GUAGGGAAUAUUGCGCAAUGGACGAAAGUCUGACGCAGCGACGCCGCGUGAGUGAUGAAGGCCUUAGGGUCGUAAAGCUCUGUUGAAUGGGAAGAAAAAAAUGACGGUACCAUUCGAGGAAGGACCGGCUAACUUCGUGUCAGCAGCCGCGGUAAUACGAGGGGUCCUAGCGUUGUUCGGAAUCAUUGGGCGUAAAGGGUGUGUAGGUGGCCAUGUAAGUCAGGUGUGAAAGCCCCGGGCUCAACCCGGGAAGUGCACUUGAUACUGCGUGGCUUGAGUACCGAAGAGGGUAGUGGAAUUCCAGGUGUAGUGGUGAAAUACGUAGAUAUCUGGAGGAACACCGGUGGCGAAGGCGGCUACCUGGUCGAGUACUGACACUGAGACACGAAAGCAUGGGGAUCAAACAGGAUUAGAAACCCGUGUAGUCC